ACGGUCCGGUAGGGCAACCUGCCGGAUAGUGGCGCAAGCGUUAGUAAUACAUAAGCAACCUGCCUUUAACCUGGGGAUAACGGUCGGAAACGGUCGCUAAUACCGAAUGAGUACGAUAAGAGGCAUCUUUUAUGGUACAAAGUUGGGGAUCCGGAAACGGACCUAGCGGUUAUAGAGGGGCGUAUGGGAUAUCAGCUAGUUGGUUAGGUAACGGCUGACCAAGGCUAAGACGUCUAGGCGGAUUGAGAGAUUGACCGCCAACAUUGGGACUGAGACACUGCCCAGACUCCUACGGGAGGCUGCAGUCGAGGAUCUUUCGCAAUGGGCGCAAGCCUGACGAAGCGACGCUGUGUGAACGAAGAAGGCCUUCGGGUUGUAAAGUUCUUUCGCUUGGGGACAAAGUCGAUGGGUGAAUAAUCCAUUGAUCUGAGAGUACUAGGUAAAGAAGCACCGGCUAACUCCGUGCCAGCAGCUGCGGUAAUACGGAGGGUGCAAGCAUUAAUCGGAUUUAUUGGGCGUAAAGGGCGCGUAGGCGGGUAUAUAAGUCACGUGUGAAACGCUGGGGCUUAACCCCAGCAUGGCGCGUGAGACUGUAUAUCUUGAGGGCAGGUAGGGAAAAUGGAAUUCCACGUGUAGCGGUAAAAUGCGUAGAUAUGUGGAGGAACACCGGAGGCGAAGGCGGUUUUCUGGUCUGCUACUGACGCUGAGGCGCGAGAGCAAGGGGAGCAAACAGGAUUAGAUACCCUGGUAGUCCUUGCCGUAAACGAUGCAUACUUGAUGUGGUCGGGCUCAACCCCGGCUGUGUCGAAGCUAACGCGGUAAGUAUGCCACCUGAGGAGUACGCUCGCAAGGGUGAAACUCAAAAGAAUUGACGGGGGCCCGCACAAGCAGUGGAACAUGUGGUUCAAUUCGAUACAACGCGAAGAACCUUACCCAGGUUAGAAAUUCAAGUGGCGUUACCGGGGACGGUAAUUUCCGCAAGGACACUUGGACAGGUGCUGCAUGGCUGUCGUCAGCUCGUGCCGUGAGGCGUUAGGUUAAGUCCUGCAACGAGCGCAACCCUUAUCGUUAGUUGCCAGCAAGUAAAGUUGGGCUCUCUAGCGAGACUGCCCGGGUUAACCGGGAGGAAGGUGAGGAUGACGUCAAGUCCGCAUGGCCCUUAUGUCUGGGGCAACACACGUGUUACAAUGGUAAGUAUAGAAGGCAGCGAAACUGUGAAGUGGAGCAAAUCCUAGAAAGCUUAUCUCAGUUCGGAUUGCAGUCUGCAACUCGACUGCAUGAAGUUGGAAUUGCUAGUAAUGGCGCGUCAGCUACAGCGCCGUGAAUACGUUCUCGGGCCUUGUACACACCGCCCGUCACAUCAUGAGAGUUGGUUUUACCCGAAGAAGCUGACCCAACCGCAAGGGGGGAGGCUACUAAGGUAAGGCCGAUGAUUGGGAUGAAGUAACAAGGUA
rnacentral:rRNA from 1 species